rnacentral:rRNA from 1 species
CCUACGGGUGGCAGCAGUAGGGAAUCUUUCACAAUGGGCGAAAGCCUGAUGGAGCAACGCCGCGUGCAGGAUGAAGGCCUUCGGGUUGUAAACUGCUUUUAUAAGCGAGAAAUAUGAUGGUAACUUAUGAAUAAGGAUCGGCUAACUACGUGCCAGCAGCCGCGGUCAUACGUAGGAUCCGAGCAUUAUCCGGAGUGACUGGGUGUAAAGAGUUGCGUAGGUGGCAUAAUAAGUAGCUAGUGAAAUCUGGUGGCUCAACCAUUCAGACUAUUAGCUAAACUGUUACGCUUGAGACCGUUAGAGGUAACUGGAAUUUCUAGUGUAGGAGUGAAAUGCGUAGAUAUUAGAAGGAACACCAAUAGCGUAGGCAGGUUGCUGGGACGGUACUGACGCUAAGGCACGAAAGCGUAGGGAGCAAACGGGAUUAGAUACCCCAGUAGUC